rnacentral:rRNA from 1 species
GAUGAACGCUGGCGGCGUGCCUAAUACAUGCAAGUCGAGCGAACAGAUGAGGAGCUUGCUCCUCUGACGUUAGCGGCGGACGGGUGAGUAACACGUGGAUAACCUACCUAUAAGACUGGGAUAACUUCGGGAAACCGGAGCUAAUACCGGAUAAUAUAUUGAACCGCAUGGUUCAAUAGUGAAAGACGGUUUUGCUGUCACUUAUAGAUGGAUCCGCGCCGCAUUAGCUAGUUGGUAAGGUAACGGCUUACCAAGGCAACGAUGCGUAGCCGACCUGAGAGGGUGAUCGGCCACACUGGAACUGGGACGCGGUCCAGACUCCUACGGGAGGCAGCAGUAGGGAAUCUUACGCAGUGGGCGAAAGCCUGACGGAGCAACGCCGCGUGAGUGAUGAAGGUCUUCGGAUCGUAAAACUCUGUUAUUAGGGAAGAACAAAUGUGUAAGUAACUAUGCACGUCUUGACGGUACCUAAUCAGAAAGCCACGGCUAACUACGUG